rnacentral:rRNA from 1 species
GUCGAGGGGCAGCAUGAAAGUUUGCUUGCAAACUUUUGAUGGCGACCGGCGCACGUGUGAGUAACACGUAUCCAACCUGCCUCAUACUCGGGGAUAGCCUUUCGAAAGAAAGAUUAAUACCCGAUGUCAUAGUCCUACCGCAUGAUGGGAUUAUUAAAGAAUUUCGGUAUGGGAUGGGGAUGCGUUCCAUUAGUUAGUUGGCGGGGUGACGGCCCACCAAGACAACGAUGGAUAGGGGUUCUGAGAGGAAGGUCCCCCACAUUGGAACUGAGACACGGUCCAAACUCCUACGGGAGGCAGCAGUGAGGAAUAUUGGUCAAUGGACGAGAGUCUGAACCAGCCAAGUAGCGUGAAGGAUGACUGCCCUAUGGGUUGUAAACUUCUUUUAUAUGGGAAUAAAACGUUCCACGUGUGGAAUUUUGUAUGUACCAUAUGAAUAAGGAUCGGCUAACUCCGUGCCAGCAGCCGCGGUAAUACGGAGGAUCCGAGCGUUAUCCGGAUUUAUUGGGUUUAAAGGGAGCGUAGGUGGAUUGUUAAGUCAGUUGUGAAAGUUUGCGGCUCAACCGUAAAAUUGCAGUUGAAACUGGCAGUCUUGAGUACAGUAGAGGUGGGCGGAAUUCGUGGUGUAGCGGUGAAAUGCUUAGAUAUCACGAAGAACUCCGAUUGCGAAGGCAGCUCACUGGACUGCAACUGACACUGAGGCUCGAAAGUGUGGGUAUCAAACAGGAUUAGAUACCCUGGUAGUCCACACAGUAAACGAUGAAUACUCGCUGUUUGCGAUAUACAGCAAGCGGCCAAGCGAAAGCAUUAAGUAUUCCACCUGGGGAGUACGCCGGCAACGGUGAAACUC